rnacentral:rRNA from 1 species
GACGAACGCUGGCGGCGUGCUUAACACAUGCAAGUCGAACGGAAAGGCCCUGCUUUUGUGGGGUGCUCGAGUGGCGAACGGGUGAGUAACACGUGAGUAACCUGCCCUUGACUUUGGGAUAACUUCAGGAAACUGGGGCUAAUACCGGAUAGGAGCUCCUGCUGCAUGGUGGGGGUUGGAAAGUUUCGGCGGUUGGGGAUGGACUCGCGGCUUAUCAGCUUGUUGGUGGGGUAGUGGCUUACCAAGGCUUUGACGGGUAGCCGGCCUGAGAGGGUGACCGGCCACAUUGGGACUGAGAUACGGCACAGACUCCUACGGGAGGCAUCAGUGGGGAAUGUUGCACCAUGGGCGGAAGCCUAAUGCAGCAACGCCGCGUGCGGGAUGACGGCCUUCGGGUUGUAAGCCGCUUUCGCCUGUGACGAAGCGUGAGUGACGGUAAUGGGUAAAGAAGCACCGGCUAACUACGUG